rnacentral:lncRNA from 1 species
UGAUGUUGAAAUUUAAUCAAAUAGACUCAGAGAAGAAAACAAACAAGAGAAUUGUUGCUGUAACUUUCGUUACUUUAUUCAUCAGAACAUAAGCCUAUUAAAUAGGCAGAACAUCCAAACCACUUAGCAAGACAAUAGCUAUAGAACAACAACAAAGACCCACUAACAUACCCCACUAACCAGAACAUAUGCAGAAACUAACUCCUAAAAACAAGCCACAUCCUAUUGACUAGGACUCCACUAUUACAUUAUUGAAGACACGUAAAAACUGAAAGUUAACUACUUCAACAAUUGAUGGUGUCACUUCAAGGAGUUCUCAAUGUCAAUCACGAAUCGAUACUUAACAUCUCUCUUGAUGAGCCUCUCCAGAGCUUCGUUGGCGUAAUCGAUCGGUAUCACUUCAAUGUUUGGGUAUAUCUUCUGCACCGCACACAAGUCUAUCAUUUCUUGGGUAUUCUUUGUUCCUCCCGUUACGCUACCCGUAACAGUUCUCAUAUCUGCCAAAAGUUCACCGCGAGCAACUUAAUUCACCUAUCAGGUAUGAAAUUUCAUUUAGUAAUCAGAUUUGAGAACAAAAACAUACUGAGGUUAAGGCUGGCUGGACUGAAUUUAACUUCGCUCGGGACGCCGACCAAUGCUAGAAUGCCACCCGUCUUCAAAAGAGACAUGUAAGGAUCAAAUGGGUGAUCACCGGCUGCCGUGUCGAUUAUAAAGUCCAGGGACUUAGCAAUGGCCUGCGUGCAUUGGAUUUAUCAGAUCACAACAGAAUUUGACCACCAUGGAUCUCAAUGUGGAUAAUUCUAGUUUUUCCUCUUUUUACCUUCAUCUGCUCCAGGUCAGAUGAGAUAAUGAAAUGGUCAGCCCCAAGCAGGCUCAGUGCUUCCUCCUUUUUAGAAAUGCUUGUACUUAACACUGUGACUUUCAGUCCAAAAGCCUUCCCAAACUUAACUGCCAUAUGACCGAGCCCACCAAGUCCAAUUACACCUAGAGACUUACCAGGUUGGUUCAUCUUGUGACGUAUCAUUGGAGUGUACACCGUGAUUCCAGCACAGAGCAAUGGCGCUGCUAGAUCCAUCGGGUAGUUUUCUGGAAUCCUGAAGCAAUACCUGUCAAUGAAGCACCACAAUUAAGUUUCCAAAUAACACCAAGACAGGAAGUGAUUUCCCAAUAGAAUCAGCAUCCUGUCUUUGUUGUCUAAAAGGAAUCAAAUCACAGAGCCAGAAAUCCUAUCUUCCACAUGCUUGGGAAUUUUACUUGCUUAGACCACAAUUCAGCAUCAUGUUGUUUCUGUGAUCCUUGUUCUGACCACAAAUUGCUCUAGACAAACAUUUCUUGCUGUAGCAACGUAAAUAAAGCAAUUGCAGCAUACUGGAGACCACACUCGAUUAAAAUUAAGAAAAGACACUUGCUCUAAGAAAGGAAACUAGUGGCAUAUCAUGUAUGCUUGACUGAACACGUAAUUUUGUAUUUCCUUCAAUCAAUUUCUCCAAAGGACUCAAGAUUCCUGCGGCUCUAUCAGAAACAAGAAUUAGUGAAAGCGCAUACAUUUAGCUACUCAUUUGAUCUGAUACUUAUGAUCUAACUCUAACAAUCUAAGGACAGCUUAUUCCAUUCUUGACAAUGGUUAUUCAAAAGAAAGAAUUUCUUUUCGCAUUUAAUAAAGCCAGUUCUCCAUUGAAUGGUUUGAAUGGUAAUUGGAUACAGAGGACUUAAAGACUCUCCAGAGUCGUUAUAGAAAGUAUCUUUAUCCCUUUCCACAAGAUGCAAUUAAUGCCUAAAAGCCAUUCCUCACAGUCCUAUGCAUUAUGCCACUUCUGGUCACAAUCAGAAUAAGAAGAAAAUUAGCAGAGAAGAAGACAUGACAUGAAAUCUUUUUUUGGCCACCAUGAUUUGGAAUUCUGUCACAGUGCAAAAUGCUGCCUAAUAACACUGUGUCAGUAAGCAAUUACCUUUCAUGGACGACAAUGUGACUAGAAUAUCCUCCCUUUGUCACUGUACCAUCUGCAUCAAUUCCAUCAAAAGUCAUAACCGACUUUUCACAUUGGACUUCUAGCCUGUCAUUGCAAUACUCGCACUCUCUGCAUGAAUUGACAUAAGUUCCCACCCCCACAUGAUCGCCAACUUUGAAGCGUUGGACACUGGAGCCAACCUGUUUCACAAUUCCAACUAUCUCGUGCCUGAAUCAAUCAAAAAAAAUUUUCGCAAAUUUUGUUCAGAGAAUUAUGAGGAUGGUGCUAAGAAAAAAGAUUUAACAUUUGAAUCCCGCUGCAUCCUACCCCGGCACCAGAGGAUACUUGGAGUGUCCCUGCACAUUCCUAGUCCAAGCCACAUCUGCGUAGCACACUCCACAGUGCGUGAUCUUAAUCGAGACGUCUUCGCUUCCCACGGCCCUAAAGAGAUGAUUCCCAAACAGGUGAGCAUAUAAUCCAGUGACUAAUCAGACUAGGGUGCCCUUUUUUUCCAUUUUCAAGAUCAACAAACUAAACUUGACCUACGAUUAUUGAGGAAACAAGAAACCAGAAAUGAGAAAAGGAAAAAUUCCAUGACUACAAGCAUAUUUGUCCAUACGGUAGAUACAACCUCAAAUGCUCAGAAAGGCAGCCAGUACAGGAUCCUCAUGUCUGCAGCCAGUACAGGAUCCUCAUGUCUGCCAUGAAAUUCUGAGUAACCCAUAACCAACAAUUCUCGACUCAGAAUUCAGCGCAUACACAACAAAAGAAAGAACGAAAAAAAAUGAAAUGGUCUGGACCGAAACUGUCUCUCGUGAACACUGUACUGAGACUCUCGCAUGAACACUUCGGUAGAAAUCGAAAAAGAAAAAAAAAAAAAAUGGCAAUACCUGCGGGUGAAUUUGUAGGGGGAGAGGAACCCAGAAGGGUCCCGGGCAGCCCAACCGAGGCAAUCCUCCUUCCCACCCUCCGAGCUCAUCUUCUGCACCUACACACCCGGCGAAGCAAUCACACAAACAGGUACGGUUAGAUUCAUCCAAAGAAGAAGAAGAAAGGGUGAGAACGCGAACGAGAGAGUGCCCAAGAUCAGAGACUCGACGGGUCAUCACACGGCGACGACUCGAGUCACAACGAGCUCGCCAUCACUCAUCAACUCACUCACUCACCCACCCCCACCUACCCAAGCACAACCCCACAGCAACUCAGAGAGAGAGAGAGAUGACUACGGAGAUGGAGAGAGGUUACGCGGUGGUGGAGUAUGCGGUAGCGCGAAGAGGGUGAUGAGCCGAGCAGAGUCGAGGACGGGAGGUUCAACGAAGACUUUUGCCCCCUCCUACUUUGCAGGAAAGCUACGAGUCGUCGUAUGGAUUUUAUGGCGGUGGCCCCUAGGCUCUAAAAGAAGGUUCGAGGAGCCUACUGCCUAGCCUUCUUUUGCUGUUGGUUUCAAUAUCUGCUGCUUUUCCGCCUUAGCCCAACCGACAUCGCCCUCAAAAGACAUCAAAGAUAAGGUAGUUGGAAGGAAACAUCAUCCGAAACUUAAAGAUGGGGUAGUUGGAAGGAAACAGUAUACGAAACUUUGGUUCAAUAGGUAACGUGAUUUUCUAAAUUUUUAAUUUACCCAAUAUGAUUUUUUAAAAUUUUGGUAUAGAUUCAACUUAGUCUUUAGAGUAUAUAUUGUCGCAAAUUUUAAAUUAAUAAAAUGACGACGUUGAAUAUUUUCAUAUGAUCAAAUGACAACAUUAAAUAUGUACUAAAAUUUUGAAUAAUAUUGAAUAUUUUCAUAUAAUUUUGAGAUUAUAUAGAAUAUGUAUCAAAGAUCAUUAACUAUAUAGUUCCGUUCAAUUUGCGGAAAAUAAUUUCCGAAAAACCGUUUUUCAGAUUUUUCGACAUUCAUUUCAUGAAAAAUGAAUUCAUUGGGAAAAAUGUUUCUUCUAAAUUAAGGGAAAAUGUUUUCCACUUUUAAAAAGUGAAAAACAUUUUCUUCACUCGAUCUCUCUUAUCUUACACCUCUAAAAAUCUCUACUUUAUCCUCACAUUUCUUUUUCUUCUUUUCUUUUUUUAAUUCAAAUUAUUUUUAAUUUCCUUUUUAUUUUAUUUUUAAUUUUUCUUUAUUUUUCUUUUUCUUUUCUUUGUUUCCCAUCUUUUCUUUCUUGGCUAGUUGUCAGUCAUUACCAAGCGAAUCUCGAGUUCGUCAAUCUUAAGCUCACACUCUGUACUCUUACUUAUCAUUUUCUUUAUUUACUCUAUCCUGCAGUUGUAUAUUGCUCAAACAAAUGGCUCUACAUGCUUUGCUUCUUUUUUCUUUUGUUUAUUAGAACACAAAAGACGCAUGAGAGAACAGGCCACUCAACUGGAAGAUUCUCAUUAGGGCUGUACAUGCUUUGCUUCUUUUCUCUUUUACUUCUUUUUAAAAUCCAUACAGACAUUUUUUAGAGUAGAUGAGCGUUUGACAACAAUGAGGGAACAAAGAUAUGCUCGAAUUUAAAUGCAAGUUCAUAUUUGAUGGGUUUAUAGGUCGGUAAGUGAUGCAUGCCUAAGUGGUGAAGUCUUAGAAAAUAUUUUCCUUACCAAACACCGAAAAAUAAUUUUCGAAACAUUUUCAAGUUUUAGCUUAACACUAGAAAAUAUUGUAAUUUUCCUAGAAAAUGAUUUUUGGAAAAAUAUUUUCCGGAAAUGACCAAUUUUUCACGAAACGAACGGACCCUUAGUCUCGGGAGUUUCUAUGUUACAUAUGAUCUAGUCCUUCAACUUUUCUAUUUGUAUACACUCAAAUCUUUUGUCAUAUUCAGUUUUUAUGCAGUUAAGUUUUAUUUUGUUCAUUCAAAUCAUUCAAUGUUCUCGACUAGUGCAAUUGAGUGCUUCACUCACCCAUCAUAACACACAAUUCCAUUUUUCUUUUUCCAAGUUUGCUUUUCGCUCAUUUGGCACCACCUCAACAUUGUGCGAUAUUUUCUACCUCAAUGAUAAUACUAUGUUAUUGAUUACUAUGACACAUUCAGCAAGAGGAUUUACUGAACGAUUUAAUUGCACGAAUCAAGAAAGUUAGAAGACUUGAUUGAACAAAAUAUAAAGUUAAGAGGAUCAAAUUGUGCCGAUAUGGAAAUUUGGAUGACUAAAAUUGCAUCAAACCCUUUUAUAGGGAGAUGGGUCAGCCACAAUAACAUAUUCUUUUUCAGUGACUGGCUUUGACACAACCAAUGCAACAUUAGUACGAAAAUGAAAGAUGAGUGGACAAAAGAAGGGCAACAGAUGUUAAACGAAACCUGUUUCCCAAAAGCACCAUGCAGAAACUUCCUUUCAUUGGAAAAUUUUUCUUGAAACGGAACUAAAGAUUACUGGCUUCGACAUAACCGAUGAACAUACCAAGAGCUGAGGCCUUAUCCAACAACAACGUGAAAAUGAAAAAUGAGUUGAAAAGAAUGGACAGCAGCUGUCAAAUUAAACAUUUUUUCCAUGUCUCGUUCAGAACUUGUCACUCCUUCAUUACAAUCUUGACCCUUUUGAAAUUGGAAGUGAAGGUUACUGGCUUCGACAUGACCAAUGUAUAACUUGUCGCUCAUGCAAUAUGGUAUAUAGAAAUGAAAGAUGAGUAGAAAAAGAAAUGGACGAUUGCUGUCAAAUUAAAACCUUUCCCAAGUCAACUUGUCGCUCCCCUUCCUUCCAUUAAAAUGCUUUUAUGGUGGAACUGAAGAUUACUGGCUUUGACACAACCAAUGUAAACCCUCCAAGAGGUGAGAGAACUUAUGCAAAAGUAUAAAAAUGAAAGACGAGUCAAAAAGAUGAGGACAAUAACCAAAUGCGUGCAACUCAAUUGCACUUUUUGAUAAGGAUAAACUGCACCUCUCCUCAUCAUUGAAAGAGAUAGGAUUAAACGCAGACGUGAUUGACAUAGAGAUUCUUACUAGAAAUUAAAUAAAAAUAAGUCUUUCUUGGUAACAGGAUGUUUGUUCUCGUGACCGUGUAGGUCUUUCUAGGUUCUCUGACGCGUGCCAUGAGGUCAUGGCAUGUUAUGCAACCAGAGAUAUCCAUUCCAUAUUUCUAUGGUAUCUAUCCAUCGUUACCUCCCGUGAACCUAAGAAGAACAAAACCAAUCCAUAAAGCUGGAGGAUCAAGAACAACCCGCCCUAAGUUAUUGAUGAACUGAGUUAACUGUUUGAAGCCUAAGUAGCGAAUCAUUUAAAGUUUAAGCUACUAAAAUGUCAGAUGCCAAACAGAAGGAAAAUCUACAGAGCCAACAUCUGCAUCGGAUCAACGAUGGCAUAUCAACAACUAAGGGAAAAAUCUGCUACUAAAUAUUUAUCUGAAACUAUAAGCGAGGAUCACGUUGCACUUGCAUAAGUCUGUUAACGCAGGUCAAUGGUCAUGUUCUGGCCAGCUAUGUAAGAAGUUUGAAAACUCUACACGGACAGGCACCAUUUGCAAGAAGACCUGUUCCCUCAAAUGCUCAUCUUUGUACUGAGCUGGAAAUGCUUUUAGCAGAUGACUGUGCCUCCAGAAACAAAUCGCAUGAAGUGGCCCACAAUUCUCUGGCAAGUCCAGUGUCGUACGAAACUAAAGAAGAGUUGAUAGUCCGGCCCUUCCCACCAAAGAAUACACACCAGAAAUUUCCUAUAUUUGCAAGACAGCGGCUAUUAGUAAGCACUGUUCCAACAUAUAAUAGCAGCCGCAUAAGAUUGAUACCACAGAUUAUCAGCAGAGAAGGGAAAAUCAAUUCUGGAAACACUCUGUCAUACCGUAGAAUCAACAUUAAUGGAUUUUACGUCCAAUGCUAGUACGACCUCAAUUGAGGAUAAAACGAGAGAGACUCAUUCAAGAUGGUUCAGAUAAGUGAAGCACCAGUACAGGAAUGCUUUACACCAGCCCCAUUUAGUGGGAAAAAAUCACUAUCACCCAUAUCUGCAGCUGUGGUUGCCUAUUGAGAUGAAACACAAGUGAUUUCAUUGCAGUCCCAUCUAGCAGUCCCAUCUAGCAUAUAGCAGAAAUUAAAGAUAACGAUUGCAGUCAGAAAAACACAUAAGAGAAUUGUUGCUGUAACUCUCGUUACUUUAUUCAUCAGAACAUAAGCCUAUUAAAUAGGCAGAACAUCCAAACCACUUAGCAAGAAAAUAGCUAUAGAACAACAACAACAAAGACCCACUAACACACCCCACUGACCAGAACAUGUGGAGAAACUAACUCCUAAAAACAAGCCAUUUCCUAUUGACUAGGACUCCACUAUUACAUUAUUGAAGACAUGUAAAAACUGAAAGUUAACUACUUCAACAAUUGAUGGUGUCACUUCAAGGAGUUCUCAAUGUCGAUCACGAAUCGAUACUUAACAUCUCUCUUGAUGAGCCUCUCUAGAGCUUCGUUGGCAUAAUCGAUCGGUAUCACUUCGAUAUUUGGGUAUAUCUUCUGCGCUGCACAUAGGUCUAUCAUUUCUUGGGUAUCCUUUGUUCCUCCCGUUAGGCUACCUGAAACAGUUCUCAUAUCUGCCAAAAGUUCACCACGAGCAACUUAGUUCACCUAUCAGGUAUAAAAUUUCAUUUAGUAAUCAGAUUUAAAACAAAAACAUACUGAGGUUAAGGCUGGCUGGACUGAAUUUAACUUCGCUUGAGCCGACCAAUGCUAGAAUGCCACCCGUCUUCAAAACAGACAUGUAAGGAUCAAACGGGUGAUUGCCGGAUGCCGUGUCAAUUAUAAAGUCCAGGGACUUAGCAAUGGCCUGCGUGCAUUGGAUUUAUCAGAUCACAACAGAAUUUGACCACCAUGGAUCUCAAUGUGGAUAAUUCUAGUUUUUCCUCUUUUUACCUUCAUCUGCUCUACGUCAGAUGAGAUAACGAAAUGGUCAGCCCCAAGCAGGCUCAGUGCUUCCUCCUUUUUAGAAAUGCUUGUACUAAACACUGUGACUUUCAGUCCAAAAGCCUUCCCAAACUUAACUGCCAUAUGACCGAGCCCGCCAAGUCCAAUUACACCUAGAGACUUACCAGGUUGGUUCAUCUUGUGACGUAUCAUUGGAGUGUACACCGUGAGUCCAGCACAGAGCAAUGGCGCUGCUAGAUCCAUCGGGUAGUUUUCUGGAAUCCUGAAGCAAUACCUGUCAAUGAAGCACCACAAUUAAGUUUCCAAAUAACACCAAGAGAGGAAGUGAUUUCCCAAUAGAAUCAGCAUCCUGUCUUUUUUGUCUAAAAGGAAUCAAAUCACAGAGCCAGAAAUCCUAUCUUCCGCAUGCUAAGGAAUUUUACUUGCUUAGACCACAAUUCAGCAUCAUGUUGUUUCCGUGAUCCUUGUUCUGACCACAAAUUGCUCAAGACAAACAUUUCUUGCUGUAGCAACAAAAAUAAAGCAAUUGCAGCAUACCGGAGGCCACACUCGAUUAAAAUUAAGAAAAGUCACUUGCUCUAAGAAAGGAAACUGGUGGCAUAUCACAUAUGCUUGAUUGAACACGUAAUUUCUGUAUUUCCUUCAAUCAAUUUCUCCAAGGGAGUCAAGAUUCCUGUGGUUCUAUCAGAUACAAGAAUUAGUGAAAGCACAUACAUUUAACUACCCAUUUGAUCUGAUACUUAUGAUCUAACUUUAACAAUCUAAGGACAGCUUAUUCCAUUCUUGACGAUGGUUACUGAAAAGAAAGAAUUUCUUUUUGCAUUUAAUAAAGCCAAUUCUCCAUUGAAUGGUUUCAAUGGUAAUUGGAUACAAAGGACUUAAAGACCCUCCAAAGCAGUUAUAGAAAGUAUCUUUAUCCCUUUCCACAUGAUGCAUUAUGCCACUUCUGGUCACAAUCAGAAUACGAAGAAAAUUAGCAGAGAAGAAGACAUGACAUGAAAUCUUUUUUUGGCCACCAUGAUUUGAAAUUCUUUCACAGUGCAAAAUGCUGCCUAAUAACAUUGUGUCAAUAAGCAAUUACCUUUCAUGGACGACAAUGUGACUAGAAUAUCCUCCCUUUGUCACUGUACCGUCCGUAUCGAUUCCGUCAAAAGUCAAAACCAUCUUUUCACAGUGGACUUCUAGCCCGUCAUUGCAAUACUCGCACUCUCUGCAUGAAUUGACAUAAGUUCCCACACCCACAUGAUCGCCAACUUUGAAGCGUUGGACACUGGAGCCAACCUGUUUCACAAUUCCAACUAUCUCGUGCCUGAAUCAAUCAAAAAAAUCAUUCGCAAAUUUUGUUCAGAGAAUUAUUAGGAUGGUGCUAAGAAAAAAGAUUAACAUUCGAAUCACGCUGCAUCCUACCCUGGCACCAGAGGAUACUUGGAGCGUCCCGACAUAUUCCUAGUCCAACCCACAUCUGCAUAGCACACUCCACAGUGCGUGAUCCUAAUCGAGACGUCAUCGCUUCCCACGGUCCUAAAGAGAGAAUUCCCAAACAGGUGAGCAUCUAAUCAAGCAACUAAUCAGACUCAGUUACCUUUUGUUCUCAUUUUCCAGAUCAAUAAACUAAGCGUGGCUUACAAUAAUCAUACAUUCAACCCAAAACAAAUUUUAAGAAAAGAGAAAUGAAAAGGAACCAAAUCCAAGACUAUAGCAUUUGUCUGAAUAGUGCGUACAACCUCAAAUGCUCACAAAGGCAGCACCUGAAUCCUAAUGUCUGCCAUGAAGUUCUAAGCAACUCAUUCUGGGACAUGACAUAUCAUGCGUACGAACAAUUCUCUACCCAGAAAUUAGUGCAUACACAACACAAUUUAUAAAAGAAAAACGAAAUGGUUUGGUCAAUGUGGAAAUUUAAAUAUAUGACAAGCAUCAAAAACUGUUUUGCAUUACAGGUGAGAGGAUAAGACCUGAGAACACUUUAUUGAGACUUAUUCAGACAAAUACUUCAAUAGAAAUUGAAAGUAUAAGGAGCAGAUGAAUUAAAUAAAGAACAGUGGUAACAGUAAUACCUGCGGCUGAAUUUGUAGGGGGAGAGAAGUCCAGAAGGAUCUCUGGCAGCCCAACCAAGACAAUCUUCCUUCGCACCCUCUGAACUCAUCGUUCCUCAACGACCUCAACUGAAAUCGACCCACAAAAAAAUUGCUGCGUUAAUCUCUCAAUAAGCUGAAUUAUGGAAGAAGAAGAAGAAUUAUUUUCGUGAAAGAGAAAUGAAGAAGAGAAUUUCAAACCGAAAAACAGAAGUUCAAAUGGUCAAAAGGCCAAAUGUCACGAAGACUUGGCAAUUCCGUUUCCGUGCAGACAAGAUUUUGCGGUCUGACUUUUGAGCAAAGAGCGAGAUUAGCAGAGAACGAGGUUGAGCGCUCAAAAAUAGUAAAAUUGGUUUUGUGUUUUGUGUUUUGAUUAGCAUAUUUGUCUUUUAAUUGUUUUUUGGCUAUGUGUGUAUAAGCAAGAGUUAUUCGGUUUGUAAACCGUCAAAGAAACGUGUGCUACAGCACCACGUCUCUCUAAGCCGCCGGAGAAGAAAAAUCAUGAAGAAAGUACAAGUAUCUUGGGCACACAAUAAAAUAUUAGUCUUGGCUAGCAAUAUUUUAUUCUCUCUGAAGACAGCAAGAAGAAGAGAUACGCAGCCCACGUUUUUUGACUGCCAAGAAGAAAAGUUCAACUUUAACUCUUGCACGUUUGAAGUCCAUGCGGUGAAGUGCUUUUAGAUAUAGGGUUACGUUAGUUUAGUGUGUGUGAGAGAGUGAGAGAGUGAGAUUUUAGAGAGAGUUUUAAGCUUAGCAAAGUUAGUGUAUGUACUCUCUUAAGCCUUUAUAAAAGCAUAUUGUGUAAUAUAAUCUCUCUAUGUGUGUACUCUCUCCCUCCAAGUCCUUUUGGUUCCAACAAUUGGUAUCAGAGCUAGCAAUGGCAUCCACUGGUUCUGUUCAGUUGCAACUUCCAAAGUUGAACGGAAAAAAUUACAACAACUGGUCCGUCCAGAUGAAGGUUCUAUUCAGGUCCCAAGAUUUGUGGAACCUGGUGGAGAACGGCUACACCGAAGUAGCUGAUGCUGAAGAAUUCAAUGCUUUGAGGAAGGAGGAGAAAGAAGCGUUGGUGGAAUCUCGAAAGAAAGAUCAGAAAGCAUUAUAUGCGAUCUUUCAAGCUGUGGAGGAGACGAUAUUUGAAAAAAUAUCGAGUGCGGAGACAGCGAAAGAAGCGUGGGAUAUAUUGCAAAAAUCCUACAAAGGCGAUGAUCGUGUCAGGCGGGUGCGGCUCCAAACACUUCGAGGAGAUUUUGAGUCUUUAUGCAUGAAUGACUCAGAAUCUAUCUCGGCUUACUUUGAUCGUGUACAAACCAUCGUUAACCAACUGAGGGUUAAUGGUGAAGAGCUCCAAGAUGUAUGAGUCGUAGAAAAAAUCUUGAGGUCUUUGACUGAAAGAUUUGACUACGUUGUUGCGGCAAUCGAAGAAGGCCAAGAUAUAUCAACCAUGACGUUGGAGAGGUUGAUGGGUUCAUUAUGUUCGCAUGAGCAAAGAAUGAACCAGAAGUCUAUCAGUUCGAAUUCUGAGCAAGCACUGCAGAGUCGGGUCACUCAAUCAAAUCGAGGAGGUCAUCAUGGUGGCAGAGGUCGUGGAGGUCGUGGAGGUGCUGGAGGUAGAGGUGGAAAUCUGAAUUCCACUAAAAGAUAUAAAACACGUGACAAAUCAAAAGUCAAGUGUUUUAACUGUAACAAAUUCGGACAUUACAAAUCCGAAUGUCAAGCAAACAUGAGGCAAGAGCAGCCAGAAUAUGUGCACGCUGUCGAUGCAAAUGAAGGCGUGGUGUUAGCAUACCAAAUGGAUGACUCAAGUACCAUGGACACAAAAAUUUGGUACCUUGAUACUGGGUGCAGCAAUCACAUGUGUGGUCAAAAGGAGCUAUUUUUGAAGUUAGAUGAGACGGUCGUGGUGAAGUCAACUUCGGGAAUAAAUCCAAAAUUCUCGUGAUGGGCAAAGGUAACAUUGAUAUCAACUCAAAAGAUGGUACUAAUGUUACUAUUGCAGACGUUUACUUUGUGCCGGAACUCUUUUGGAAUUUGCUGAGUGUUGGGCAACUAUCCGAAAAAGGCCACAAAGUUAACAUUGAAAAUGGUGUGUGCACCAUUAGAGGCGCAAACAAUAAGUUGAUUACGACGACACAGAUGAUGAAGAACCGGAUGUUUCCUCUAUCCCUUCAGACGAAGACUCUAUUGAGUUUCCAAGCAACGACAAAAGAUAGCAAGUGGCUAUGGCAUCUUCGGUUCGGUCAUCUAAAUUUUCGUGGACUUAAAUUACUAGUCCAGAAAAAGAUGGUGACUGGCAUGCCCUUGAUCGACGCUCCAGACCACUCAUGUGAAGGAUGUCUCGUUGGAAAGCAACAUCGGAAAUCUUUUCAAAUUGGGAGAGCUAGAAGAGCCAAGCAACCUCUGGAGUUGGUACAUACAGAUAUCUGUGGCCCUGUUGAGGUGGAAUCAUUUGGACAAAAAAGGUACACGCUAAUUUUUGUCGAUGAUUUUACUAGAAAAACAUGGGCUUAUUUUUUGAGAGAAAAAUCUGAAGCUUUUGGCAAAUUUAAAGAAUUCAAAGUCUAUGUUGAGAAACAGAGUGGCUUUAAUUUAAAGACAUUGAGAUCGGAUAGAGGUGGAGAGUUUACUUCCAAUGAAUUUGACAAUUAUUGUAAAAUUCAUGGAGUGAAACGUCAGUUGACUGCUAGCUAUACUCCUCAGCAAAACGGUAUAGCAGAAAGAAAGAAUAGAACAAUUUUUGAAAUGGCAAGAAGUAUGCUAAAGGCUAAAGCAUUACCGAAGAAGUUUUGGGCAGAAGCCGUUGCUUGUGCUGUAUUUGUGAUGAACAGGUGUCCAACAAGGAGUGUUCUUGGAAGAACCCCAGAAGAGGCUUGGAGCAGCAACAAGCCAGAUGUUUCGUUCCUACGGGUAUUUGGGUGCGUAGCAUAUCCCCAUAUACCGGAUGAACGAAGAAAAAAGUUGGAUGAUAAAAGCGAGAAGUGCAUUUUCAUUGGAUAUAGUAAUGUGACUAAGGGUUAUAAGCUAUAUAAUCCUGUCACGGAGAAGGUAAUUAUUAGCAGGGAUGUCCAAUUUUUUGAAGAUGAAGCCUGGGACUGGAAUCAAAAGGCUGACCAGAAAGACAUUACUAUGGAAGAUGAACCAUUAGUGAGGGAGACCGAAGAAUCUUCAAUUGAAGAUCCAUCACUUUCACCUGGUAAUUCAUCCUCCUCACCAGCAAAGACUGCAGAACCAUUGAUUCGUCGUUCACAACGACCGCAGAAGACGCCAGUAAAAUUCAAGGAUUAUGUGGUCACAAGAGUUGAUCAUAAUGACAGUGACGAAAUCACUGAUGAAACAAUGGUAAACUUUUGUUUAUUUACCGAAUGUGACCCCAUAUCCUAUGAUGAUGCAGCAGCAGAUGAGAAGUGGAACCAAGCAAUGGAUGAAGAAAUCCACUCCAUUGAAAAGAAUGACACGUGGGUGCUAACUUCUUUACCACUUGGUAAGAAGCCUAUAGGUGUCAAGUGGGUGUACAAAACAAAGUGCAAACCCAACGGUCAGGUGGACCGUUACAAAGCUAGACUGGUGGUGAAAGGCUACAAGCAAAAGCCAGGUAUUGAUUAUUUUGAAGUAUUUGCACCAGUGGCUCGAAUGGAUACCAUUCGAAUGAUCUUGGCACUUGCAGCUCAGAACCAUUGGAAAAUCCAUCAAAUGGAUGUGAAAUCGGCAUUCCUUAAUGGUUUUCUCGAUGAGGAAGUAUAUGUGGAGCAACCACAAGGUUAUGUGAAGAAAGGGCGUGAAAAUCAAGUUUAUAAACUGAAAAAAGCGUUGUAUGGGCUAAAACAGGCACCUCGAGCUUGGUACACGAGGAUUGAUACUUACCUGUUGGAGCAUGGCUUUCAAAAGUGCCCUUAUGAGCAUACACUGUAUAUCAAAUCAAAUACUAACGGCGAUAUUAUAAUUAUUUGCCUUUAUGUUGAUGAUUUGAUAUUUACAGGAAGCUGUGAGAAGAUGUUUGCUGAAUUCAAGGAGGCCAAGACAAGUCAAUUUGAGAUGACAGAUUUGGGAUUAAUGUCCUAUUUUCUGGGCCUUGAAGUGAAGCAGACAAAUGAAGACAUAUUUGUUUCACAGCAGAAGUAUGCUAAUGAUAUUUUGAAGCGAUUCAAUAUGGAAAUGCUCAAAUCAAUUCGAACUCCUGUAGCAGAACGGUUGGAGUUGAGGAAAGAAGGAACCGGUGAACUGGUAAAUCCCACUUAUUUUAAAAGUAUUGUUGGCAGUUUAAGAUAUUUGGCUACCACUAGGCCAGAUAUAACUUAUGGCGUGGGAAUUAUUAGUCGGUUUAUGGAGAAACCAUACCAAUCACAUUUGCAAGCAGCAAAAAGAAUUUUAAGGUAUGUCAGUGGAACUCGUGAUCAUGGAAUUUUAUAUUCUUACACUGACAACUUCAGUUUAGUGGGGUAUACAGACAGUGAUUGGGCAGGUGAUACUGAAACACGGAAGAGCACUUCCGGAUAUGCGUUCUUUCUUGGAUCAGGAAUAAUUUCUUGGUCAUCAAAGAAACAACAAGUUAUUGCACUCUCAACAGUUGAAGCAGAAUACAUUGCAGUAUCUUCAGCAGCAUGUCAGGCGAUGUGGCUUCGAAGGAUGCUUUUUGAGCUUAUGCAUGAACAAAAAGGUCCUACUAAAUUGAUGUGUGAUAACAAGUCAGCGAUUGCAUUGGCCAAGAAUCCCGUAUUUCAUGGCAGGAGCAAACAUAUCGACAUCAAGUAUCAUUAUAUUCGUGAGCUGAUUAAAGAAUGUGAGAUUGAACUUGAUUUCUGUAAAUCCGAAGACCAGAUUGCAGAUAUUUUGACAAAACCAUUGAAGGCAGAUUUGUUCGAGAAAUUGAAGACAAUGCUUGGUGUCGUAGUCUUACAAAAUCAAUUUUAAGGGAGGCUGUUAGAAAAUAGUAAAAUUGGUUUUGUGUUUUGUGUUUUGAUUAGCAUAUUUGUCUUUUAAUUGUUUUUUGGCUAUGUGUGUAUAAGCAAGAGUUAUUCGGUUUGUAAACCGUCAAAGAAACGUGUGCUACAGCACCACGUCUCUCUAAGCCGCCGGAGAAGAAAAAUCAUGAAGAAAGUACAAGUAUCUUGGGCACACAAUAAAAUAUUAGUCUUGGCUAGCAAUAUUUUAUUCUCUCUGAAGACAGCAAGAAGAAGAGAUACGCAGCCCACGUUUUUUGACUGCCAAGAAGAAAAGUUCAACUUUAACUCUUGCACGUUUGAAGUCCAUGCGGUGAAGUGCUUUUAGAUAUAGGGUUACGUUAGUUUAGUGUGUGUGAGAGAGUGAGAGAGUGAGAUUUUAGAGAGAGUUUUAAGCUUAGCAAAGUUAGUGUGUGUACUCUCUUAAGCCUUUACAAAGGCAUAUUGUGUAAUAUAAUUUCUCUUUGUGUGUGUACUCUCUCCCUCCAAGUCCUUUUGGUUCCAAUAGCCAUAGCGUCGCCUGUUCUUGAUUUUUUUUUUUCGUUUUAUCUUGUGGAAAAGAAUUAGUGCCAAACGUAAGCCAUUACCUUUCCCUAGCCAAUGAAGUAUGCAGUGACGUCUUCUGGAGUACGGUUCUUGGUAUUUGUGGAAAUGUGUGUUUGAUGUGUAUUUUGUGUGUGAACUAUCAAGAGAGCAAAAGAACUAAGAAACAAUGUAAGCAAGAAAUAGUUGGGCAAAAUAAUAAUGGGAAUGUGAAAAAGAGAAUGAGGCUGAGGCAGCAAACGAGAGAAAUUUGAAUGAAAGUCGACAAUAGUGGCUGAAGAAGAAACUAGUAUGUGGACAGAAAGAGUACUUGGAGAAGAAGAAAAUGAGUUGUCUUGUAGCUGUACUAUGGCAGUGAAAAAGUGAAAAAUGUCAUGUCGGUUGUAAUUGCUUACAUAGGCUUAUAGUUCAUUCAUAUGAUGUGUGUGAGGUGAACCCUCCACCUUGUGUGGGGUGAACCUCCACUGUGAGAGGUCUUAGACCUCCACCAUGACCAUAUGAAGAGUGACUAUCAACACCUCCAUUAAAUUAUUUUGUCUUCUUCAAUAAGUUCUUGACAGCUGGAGUUUGAUGAAGAAACUUUGCUUCGUGCUUUCCACUGCUUGCUAUUUCCCAUGCACGUAGACUUCUUUAGCCUAUUCUAGGAUUUCUUCUUCAACUUGCUUUUUCUUACUUGCAUUCCCAUGUGAAUCUUUUAGGUUCAGCUAGCAACCAUCAUUCUCAACAAUUCUAAACAAUCUUCAACAUGGAUGCUGCUACCAACGUUUAUUAAUUUCUAGACAGUUUUAGAGAAAAUGAAUUAUAAUUUCCAACAUAUAGUAUUUUGGAGAAAAAAGUAUUUCAGCAUAACUGUGCAAGGAUUUGUAGAUCACUACAAUAUCACCGGAGGCAAAUAAUUAUCCGUCAUUGACAUGACCAAUAUAGCAAAAAUUCUUUUAAUUGUUUACCUUAGUUUAGCAAGAUCUGCUUAAAUGACAGCCUUGAGUAUCUUCAAUUCCUUUUCUCUUGCCUUCAAAAAGAUAUUGAAAUGCAACGCGGAAUAUCAAGACAGAUUGUCAUUGACAAAGCCGUAAAAGCCUACUCGAUCUGGCAAAACUGGGGACUGUUCUUUCCAACGAUCUUGCCCACCUCGGCAGCUGCUGUGCAAAUGGAUAGGAAUGCAUGCAGAGGGACAAGCUGAUUGUUACCUGCUUUUAGUCGUUCAUUUGAAACUGUAAGAUUCACGUGCCAUAAGAUAGCUAGACAAGCGGGCAAAAAAUGAUGCGCCUUGCACCGAAGGUGGCAAGAGCAAUUAAAUUAAAUUCAAAACAAAAAAAGCUUGAUGCAUAAAAUGAAAAGUCAUCCUUUGAGCGAAUAAAUGACAAAGUAAGUGCAAUGAGAGUCACUAAUGUUCACGCUAGACUUAUGCCAUGACCAUUCCUUAGCCGAGAGAACGUAAGCAGCGACAUCUUCUAGAUAGUGGUUACUAGCAAAUUUUUUUUUUUUAUCCCCAGCCUAAUCAAAUUAUCCGAGUUAUAAGCUCAGAAAGAAGUCAAUGAGCAAUCUACCGCUAGGACCUAUGAAUGGUCAUACGAUGUUGGUUACACAUCUUGUUAGAAUAUAAUAUGCGGAAAUAAUAAAAUCUUGCAAUUUACGUCAACGCACAAAUUCCAGAUAAAUAAACGAGAAAUAAUAAGAACACUAUAAAUUUACUUGAUUCGGUCCGAGUAUCGAUAUCUACAUCCACAAGGAGAGCCAGCAGCAAAUAAUCCAUUAUAAUCGGAAAAUCAAAGUUUACAAUCGCCCACACGCUCGAUUGCUUCCCACACCAAGAUUUAAGCUCAUAUUCAAAGAGUUUAUAAAUAAACAAUUCACUUGGAAAUUAUCCCGCGUUCAAGCUUUAAACAAAACAUUCUACAUACGCCAAAAACAAGAACUCGGGCAUUUGUCUUUUGGUUCGCGUACGUACGGAUUCGCGUUCUUCUUUGCUCGAUCGUUCGUGCGGCGCUGUUCUAGACGCUCCUUUUGUGUGGCUCUUUCUUCUUCGUAGGGCUCCAGCGACUCUUUCUUAAAAAAAAAAACAAAGACGUGUUCUAUUUUAUAUGUGAGCCUAGAGUCUAACAACUUUGACUUUGAGCCCACCAUGUGCUUCUUUCUUCAAUGGGAAGUGGGACGCUGCAGAAGUUAAGACUUUGACUUUGGGCCCACGUAGACAGCCUUGUUCGGCUCCGUUAGAUAGAUAAAGAAGAAUCUUUGCUCCUUUUUUUUAUUCUAUUUUAUUUUCUCUUUUAUAAACUUUCAUGGAGUCCAACGAAGCCUAACGAAGCCUUUUUUGUUGACCGAAAAUAUCCAAGACCCAAAAAGAAUUUCGAAUUUCUUUUUUUGUGCAUAAUCUUGAAUAUUAUCUUCAUCAGAAAAAUAUCUUCACGAUCAAAUAAUAAAAAUUUUAUCCAAACAAAUCGUGUUUUGCAAACACUCAAACUCGAGACAUAAUUUAACACAUCUGACAUGAUGUACUGCCCAAUUACUAUCCUCUGACAAUUUAUAUUUGAUUAAUCUAUUUCAAGAAUAUUCAUUUGUUAGACUUGUUGGCUUACACGUCACUGUCACUGUCACGUGAUAUAUCUUAUAUUGAGAAUACUCAAAGAGCUUUUACUCCAGAUACUUGGGAGCAUCUAUGAUUGUUUUAUGUAUAUUAUGCUUGUGAUGCAUCUUGUUUUGAGUGGACUAUAGAAAUAUUUAAGUUCAUGCCAAUUUGACUAAUAUUUUAUCUGGAUAAGUGCAUUGGAAUAUUUAAAAUUUAUCAUAAAAAUAUAAUUAAGCCAUGAAACUUUGAAAUCAAGUUCUAGAACUUUGUCACAUUGGUCUAAUCUAAAUCCUUCCAUUGCAUUUUUGAAAAUUUUAGUACUUAACUACAAUUUUCUGACAAGUUUUAGUAUUUUUAAUAUACAUAUUUUUUUUCAACCUCACUAAUGUUUUUAAGCAACAAUGAGCUUGACAUAUCUCUGAUUUUGGAAUUUCAAUGGCUAUAGGAAACAAAAGGACGUCCUCUAAUGAAUCGACAAUCUUCUGCCAUGAUAAAGCUGGAAGAGAGAUGAGUGUCUUCCAUAGUUAUAAAAAAUGUUAAUGCGAUAAUCUGUAGGAAUUCGUCUUCCUGACGUGCAUGAAUAUUUCCGGCCAUGAAACAUUUCACAAUGAAGACAUUCUUGUUGUAAUUAUGGUUAUAAUGGAUCAAAGGAAGCCAAUAAAUUAAGAUACGUUUUUUCUGUUCACGUAUCUCUUUUUGGAUUCAUGAAUUUCCUAUACUUUUAUGUUCACGUAUCUAUUGAAUUCAUGAAUUUCUUAGAUUCAUGUAUCGUUUAGUUCAUGUAUUUAUUGAGUUCAUGAAUCUAUUGAAUUCACGUAUCGUUGGAUACCUGAAUCUCUUGGAUUCACGUAUCUCUUUAUUCAUGAAUCUCGUGGAUACACGCGUCUAUUUAAUUCAUGUAUCUCUUUAGUACAUGAACUAAAAAGCUCUAUAAAUAGAUAUGAGCAUAGAGCUUCAUAAGAGUUUUUGGUUUUCCCGAUUCGAUUCCAAAAGGAGCUUUGAUGUCCUUUUCUACUAUUCUGUUUUUCCUGAGUGUGCUGGUUCAAUUGAACGGUUCGACAAAGUCCUGUUUGCAUAGUGCUAAUCCAAACAGGUUCGAGGUGUUGUAUCUUGGAAGGCAUAGUUCGUGAAUCUGCGGGGCACCUUUGGCAGGAACUAAUCGCCUUAAGGAGAUUCGGUUAUCCGUACCUCACCUCCAAUUUUAUGUUAUAUCUUAUUUUCUUCUUCUCCAAGAUUUGUAAAGGGAAUGAAAUUAUAAAGUUGUUAUCAUCUUCUUUACUUUCAUGUUCUGAUUGCAACAAACAAUGUGCUUUCUCUGGAUUAAUUUCCAACAAUCUUAAGGCGAUUAUCUCACACUAUUUGUUGUUCUUGUCAUAUUAUUGAGAUGGCUGGAAACAACCAAGUGCCCUUCAAUGUCCCAAAUGUUUCUGGAGAUGUUCCUAUGGUCGAUUCGACCGUUGCUAUGGAAGAUGUUCAAUCCUCAGGGUCUGAAUUUGUAGCAGCCAAUGCUACGGACCCUUGGGCUAACAUCAAUUUUGGUGGUGCGGGUACAAGUCAUACGACUGGUAUGCCCGGGACUAUUUUUCAUAACAGUACAAGCCAAAUGGCUUUUGGCUCCAUUUCUGGAGGGAUGGUUCAACGAACUUUGCCUACUGUGAUGGCAACGCCUCCAGUUACAGCUAAUGAAAAACUAGAGAAAUUCACCGAAGUGGGCUUUAAACAGUGGCAGCAUAAGAUGUUCUUCUAUCUGACCAUGCUCAAUCUGACGAAAUAUUUAUCGGAGAUGUGCCCGAUAAUUAGUCCAAAUGAGCAAGAUGUCACGACGCUCGGUGCGUUGGAGGCUUGGAAGCAUGGGGACUUCUUAUGCCGAAAUUAUAUCCUUAAUUGUUUAGUGAAUUCUCUUUAUAAUGUUUAUUGUAAUAUUGAAUCUGCUAAAUAGUUAUGGGAGUCCUUAGAGAAAAAAUACAAAACUGAGGAUGCCAGCACCAAGAAAUUUGUGGUUGCCAAAUUCUUGGACUACAAGAUGGUGGAUUCUAAAUCUAUCAUGAGUUAGGUUCAAGAAUUGCAAUUAAUUCUGAGUGACAUCUCGGCUGAGGGAAUGAUACUUAGUGAAUCAUUCCAAGUGGCGACUAUGAUUGAGAAAUUACCUUCGGGUUGGUCAGACUUCAAAAAUUAUUUGAAGCACAAACGGAAGGAGAUGAGCCUUGAAGAUCUCAUUUUGCGCCUCAGAAUCGAGGAGGACAAUAGAAGGAGUGCGAAUCCUUCUUCUGAGCCAAAGGCCAAUGUUGUGGAAUCUUCCAAAUCCAAGCAAGAUAGAAAAAGGAAGAUGUCUUUUCAAGGAAAAGGCAAGCAGAAGGAGCAGUUCCAAAAAUUCCAAGGAACGUGUUUCAUAUGCAACAAGCCUGGCUAUCGUGCUAAGGAUUGCAAGAAGCGCCUGAAAAAAAAGGCAAGAACGAAGGUGCAGCCCAGCAACUGAAUUUGACAGAAUAUGACAAUAUUGAGAGACUGUCUGCUGUGGUAAUGUCCGAAGCAUCUCUGGUGUCGAAUACUAAUGGCUGGUGGCUAGACACGGGUGCCACAAAUCACAUCUGUGCAGAUAAACACAUGCUCUCAUCUUAUGAGAAGGCUGAAGAAGAUGAGAAGAUUUAUAUGGCUAACUCUGCAUCAACAAAGAUUGCCGGAAGAGAAACGGUGAUCCUGAAGUUUACAUCUAGCAAGGAGGUCGCCCUGCUGAAUGUGCUGCAUGUACCAGAGAUUUGGGAAAAUCUAAUUUCUUGCCCUAUACUUGUCAAGAAGGGUUUCAAAAUUGUAUUUGAAUAUGACAAGUUUGUACUUUCAAAAGGAGGGAUGUAUGUGGGGAAAGGGUACUUGUGUAAUGACUUGUUUAAGACCAAUGUGGCUGUCAUUGAUGUAAACUCAAAGUAUGGAGGUUGGGACACCUAGAGUGCCAUAACUUGGCAUGAAAUGACACUUAAGUGCCAUAACUUUAAAAUGGUACACUUAAGUGCCAAUAUCGAAGUAAAAUAGAACACUUAAGUGCCACUCCGGCGAAAAUCCGGCCAAAUGGCUGACGUGGCAAUUUUCCGGCGAGUUUGGUCCAAAACGGCGUCGUUUUGCACCCUGACGUAGCGGAGAAAACGCAAAAACGACACCGUUUCGUGUCUACGUGUAAAUAAUAAUAUAUAAAUUAAUUAAAUUAGAUUUAAAAUAUUCAAAAAAUUAAAAAAAUUGUAAAAUUUUAAAAAAAAUUAAAAAUUAAAUUUAAAAAAUUAAAAAAUUAAAAAUUAAAAAUUAAAAGGGGGGGAGGUCAAACAGGGCAGCUCCCUUUCGUCGCUCACUACGCCCUUCCUCGUCUCUGGGUGCGUAGGUAUCCACCGUAAGCCUUUCCUCGUUUGAACCUCGCCCUUCACUUUAAGGCUAUGCCAUCAUAAGGUGCUGCUAAAUGGAAGGAUCUUAUCAACGUCCAUGAAUGAGAAAUCAUAGAUCGAACUGCCGAAUCGGAAAAAUUUGGUGCUAUCAUAUAGCUUUGUAUCGGCUAAGUUCACGAGUUGGAGAUAAGCGGACUCGAAACCGCUGACAUCCGCCNNNNNNNNNNNNNNNNNNNNNNNNNNNNNNNNNNNNNNNNNNNNNNNNNNNNNNNNNNNNNNNNNNNNNNNNNNNNNNNNNNNNNNNNNNNNNNNNNNNNCCCAUCCGUCGCCGGCCCUUCCCGACGACGGCGGGGAGGCGGCGGCGGCGGCGAGGGAGCCGCCCCGUUCGACCUCCCCCACCCUUUUUUUUUUAAAUUUUUUAAAUUUUUUAAAUUUUCUUUUUAAAAAAUUUUUAAAAUUUUUUGUUUUUAAAAUUUUUGAAUAUUUUAAAUUUAAUUUAAUUAAUUUUUAAAUUAUUAUUUACACGCAGACAUGAAACGGCGUCGUUUUUGCAUUUUCUCCGCCACGUCAGCGUGCAAAACGACGCCGUUUUGAACCAAGCUUGCCGGAAAGUCGCCACAUAAGCCAUUUGGCCGGAUCUUUGCCGGAGUGGCACUUAAGUGUCCCAUUUAACUUCAAAACUGGCACUCAAGUAUACCAUUUUAAAGUUAUGGCACUUAAGUGUCCCUCGGUGCCAAGUUAUGUCACUUGGGCUGUACUUCUGCCCAAAGUAUGUGUACCCAAAAACUAUUAAUAAAGAAAAGUCUUCGGUUUACAUUGUUGUGUCUCCUUAUCUAUGGCAUGGUAGAUUAUGACAUGUAAACUAUGGUACAAUGAAGAGAAUAGCAAACUUGGGGUUAAUUCCAAGAUUUGAGUUGGAUGCCCGUUACAAGUGUGAGACUUGUGUUGAGGCCAAGUUUGCCAAGAAACUUUUCAAAUCCAUUGAAAGAACAAGUGAACCUCUACAAUUAAUCCAUAGUGAUUUAUGUGAUUUAAAGUUUGUAGAAAGUAGAGGUGGAAAGAAGUACUUCAUCACAUUUGUGGAUGAUUGUACUAGAUUUUGCUAUGUUUAUUUACUAACUAGCAAAGAUGAGACUAUGAGCAUGUUUGUCAAGUAUAAAAAUGAAGUUGAAAACCAACUUGAUAAACGAAUCAAAGUGCUUAGGUCUGAUAGAGGAGGAGAAUACAGUUCAAUCAAUUUGAAAGAGUUUUGUGCUAGUUUUGGAAUAAUUCUCCAAACGACUGCACCUUAUACUCCACAACAAAAUGGAGUUGAUGAACGAUUGAACAGGACACUAAAGGAGAUGGCUAAUGCCAUGCUUUUGAGUUCAGGUUUACCUCAGAACUUGUGGGGGGGCAGUUUUAACUGCAGAUUAUAUUUUUAAUGAAGGCUAGGUAAAACUCCAUACGAGUUAUGGAAUGAAAAGUUACCAUCCUACAAUUUUCUAAAAGUGUGGGGGUGCAUAAUGUGAUUUAUAAUGGUAAGUCUAGACAUAUUCGUUGUAGACAUAACACCAUAAGGCAGUUGCUCUCAAAUGGAAUCAUUUCUUUAGACUUUGUAAAGUCAAAGGAAAAUAUUGCGGAUCCGCUGACAAAAGGUUUGUUGAAAGAGCAUAUAAACUGCGCAUCGAGGGGAAUGGGUUUAAGAGCCUUAACCCAAUAAAGAGAUUCCAUGAUGGAAACCUAACCUAUGCGAUUGGAGAUCCCAUGGACUAGGUUCAAUAGGACAACGCAAAUUUUGGAAACUCUAGUGUAAGCAUUGUCUCUCAUUCUUAUGAUGCAACAAUACUUUCCUACAGCGUUAUUAAGGGUACGCUAUGCGUUUAAUGAUUCCUAUAACUUGGAAUGUAACAUCCAAGUAACAUCCAAGUAAGAUAUGGUAGGAUAUCUUUAAUAGGAAUGCACCUAUAUGCGUGGAGCUGGCCGACUCUAUGAAAAUCUUUAAAUGCUAGAUUUUCUAAAGCACGCACGAAUCCCAAGAGGUUCAGGGCCGAAAGAACGAACACAACCGAGAACCAAUCUUGAAUUGGAAAUACUCCGUGUGAGGUUUAUUGUCUAAGCUUACACAAACAACUGGUAAUUCAAGGCUUAGUCCAUCGACUAGUUAAGUAAGUCCGAUAAGCUUUCACUAAAGAAGGUUCAAAGCGAAAGCUACCUAUCUUGAUGCGGUUUAUUUCAACAGGCAUGCUCAGAUUCCUUCGAGUCAAAAAUAUUUUGUUGAUCCAUUAAUGUGGGGGAUUGUUGUAAUUAUGGUUAUAAUUAUAGUUAAUGGAUCAAAGGAAGCCAAUAAAUUAAGAUACGUUUUUUCUGUUCACGUAUCUCUUUUUGGAUUCAUGAAUUUCCUAUACUUUUAUGUUCACGUAUCUAUUGAAUUCAUGAAUUUCUUAGAUUCAUGUAUCGUUUAGUUCAUGUAUUUAUUGAGUUUAUGAAUCUCUUGAAUUCACGUAUCUUUGGAUACAUUAAUCUAUUGGAUUCACGUAUCUCUUUAUUCAUGAAUCUCGUGGAUACACACGUCUAUUUAAUUCAUGUAUCUCUUUAGUACAUGAACUAAAAAGCUCUAUAAAUAGAUAUGAGCAUAGAGCUUCAUAAGAGUUUUUGGUUUUCUUGAUUCGAUUCCAAAAAGAGCUUUGAUGUCCUUUUCUACUAUUCUGUUUUUCCUGAGUGUGCUGGUUCAAUUGAACGGUUCGACAGAGUCCUGUUUGCAUAGUGCUAAUCCAAACGGGUUCGAGGUGUUGUAUCUUGGAAGGCAUAGUUCGUGAAUCUGCGAGGCACCUUUGGCAGGAACUAAUCGCCUUAAGGAGAUUCGGUUAUCCAUACCUCACCUCCAAUUUUAUGUUAUAUCUUAUUUUCUUCUUCUCCAAGAUUUUUAAAGGGAAUGAAAUUAUAAAGUUGUUAUCAUCUUCUUUACUUUCAUGUUCUGAUUGCAACAAACAGUGUGCUUUCUCUGAAUUAAUUUCCAACAAUUCUGUCACUUAAACUGGCAAAAGGAUAUCGAGCUUGUUCUUUUGGCGAGUGUAUUGCCGUUAAAUAUGCCAAUUAAUUCCACGACUAUUAGCAUUUGUUUAAAUAGAGCAUACAACCUAAAAUGCUCACAAUGGCAGCUGGUACUGGAUCCUCAUGUCUGCCCAUGAAAUUCUGAGUGCCUCAGACAUGGCAUAUCAUGCACACAAACAAUUCUCAACCCAGAAAUUAGUGCGUACACAACAAGAGUUAAAAAAGAAAAAAAAAAUGAUUUGGUUAAUGUGGAAAUUUAACAUAAUGACAAGCAUAAAAAACUGUUCAGCAGUACAGUAGAGAGGUCAAGACCUGAGAACACUGUAUUGAGACUUAUUCAGAUCAACACUUCAGAUAGUCACUGAAAAGCUAAGGAGCAGAUGAAUUGAAUAAAGAACAAUGGCGAUGAUAAUACCUGCGGCUGAAUUUGUAGGGGGAGAGAAGUCCUAGAAGCCGUCAUUGAUGCCAUAGCGAUGGAUGUUCAUGAUUAAUCUUUGAGCUUACUAUUGUGGAAAAGUAUUAGUGAUUCGCCAAACGUAACCCAUGACCCUUCCUUAACCAAAGAACGCAUGCAAUGACAUCUUCUGGAGAGCGGCUCCUGGAAUUUUUCCAUCCAUCCUCCCACAACCUAAUUGCAUUAUCAACCUAUUGACACAUAAAAUAUGUCAAUAGGCAAUGUGCCGUUGCACCACAGGACCCGCAAAUGGUCAUCUAUGUCAGUUACACUGCCAAUAAUUUGUACCUGACCCUUCAUGGUCCUAUUAUUCAGUUAAUCUGUUUAAAGAACAUUCAUUUUCUUCAAACAUGCUUUCUCACGUGCCACUAUAAUAUGAUGUGUAUAUACUAUCUCUUCAAGAGCUUUGACUCCUAUAUACUUGGGACAUUAAAUUUUUUUAGCAACAAUGAGAUCGGCAUAUCUCUGUUUUCGGGAUUUCAGUUGCUAAGGGAAACAAAAAGGACGUCCUCUAAUGAAUCAACAGUAUUUUGCUAUAACAAACCUGGAAGAGAGAUGAGUGUCUUACGUAGUUACAAAAACAAUGAUCACGCAAUUGUUGGUAGAAAUUUAAUCUGUUGACGUGCAUGAACAUUCUGAACAAAAAACGGAAAACGUGCAUGAACAUUUCCGGCCGGGAAGCAUUCACGAGGAGCUGAGAGGCACUCUAUUUCUUAAAGCAGCAAAAUGAUUACGAGCUUGUUCUUUUGGUGAGUGGAAUGAAUAAAUUGUACAAAAAAUCCUAAACUUAUUGUCCGAUCACUAAUUUAAUUCUGAACUUUUUAAUUUGAUCAAUGUUUUUAAAAACUUUUGACGAUUUUUUGUAGUCCACCUAGUUAAAUUUAGGUCGAAAAUCAGUGAUGGAGCAAUUUAGUAAACACUAGCCGUUUUAAGUGAUAUAACCGAUAGCUGAUAUAGAUGAUCUUAAAUGAUGUGGCGUCGUUUCACAAUUUUUUAAUAUUCUUUCUUCUUCUUUUUUUUCUUUUUUAGUAAUUUUUUUCCUAUUCUUUGGUUCUCUUGUGUUCAUUUUCUUCCCUCCGCCGAUGGCCGAUGCCUCAGCAAUGAUCGGCGACCAUCAUAGGCUACAAGUGAGGGCAUUGAGCGAGACUUGCAAGCCUUCUCCUAGAUUUGGGCAAGGGCCCUAUAGGCCCUCACUGGCCGUAGGCAAGGUUGGGAACUUGCAAGCCCUUGCCUAGAUCUACCCUCGCAUGGGGUCAAUGCCUGCCAUCACCAAAGCCUCAAUGUCUUGCUCUGGAAAGAAAAUGAACAGCAGAGAAGGAGACGAUAGGAAAAGAAAGAAAAAAGAAAAAAAGAGGAAAGGAAAAAGAAAAAAAUCUGAAAAUAAUAACAAAAAAAUUGCAAAAUGACGUUGUUUCAUUUAAGAUCAUCCAUGUCAAUCGCCAAUCAUGCAACAUGGCCUACCUUGUUGGAUGUAGUAGAUUUAGGAUAUUUUGAAUAUUUUUCUCCUAUUAAAUAUGCCUAGUUUAUUUGAUAUCCUAAAAUUUGUCAACUUUGUGAAAUCAAGUUUUAAAAUUUGUUGGCAUUUUUUUCAUAUUGGAUGAAGUUAAUGAAAUGACUUGAUUACAACUACUUGAUAAGUUUUAUGACUUGAUUGUAAUUUUUGAAAAUUGUAGACUCAAUUGCAUCUCUGUAAUAAGUUUUAAAACUUGAUUACGCUAUCUAAAAAUUUUAAGAUUUUCAAAAUACUUAUCCCUAAAAUAAAAGAAAAAGGGCCUACCCCCUUUACAUGAACUCUUUACUUUAAACGCACCAUGGAAUUUCCUGUCCUUUUACACAGUUUCAUUAACUAAGAAUUUUAUUUUUUUUUGGGUUAAAACCAAGAUUUAGUUCUUUUUUUUUUUUUUUUUUUUUGGGACCAGCCAAGAUUUAGUUCAAAGAUAGAUAUUUUGAGGAGAAAAAAAAAUUCAGCAAACUAGGCAAGGAUUUGCAAAAGAUCGUAACAAUAUUACCGGAAGCAUAUAAUUAUUUAUCACUGACGAAUGAUAUAGUAAAAAUUAUUUUAGUAGUUUACCUUAAGUUUAGCAAGAUCUGCUUAUUCGGUAGCCUUGAGUUUCUUCGAUUCCUUCUCUCUUGCCUUCAAACAGAUAUAGAAAUGGCAACGCAGAAUAUCAAGAUAGAUUGCCAUUGACAAAGCUGUAAAAGCCUACUCAAUCGAGCAAAACUGGGACAGUUUUUCCAGCGAUCUUGACCACCUCCGUAGCAUGCCGUGGAAAUAGAUAGGAACACAUGUAGAGGGACAAGCUGAUUAUCACUUGCUUUUAGUCAAGCAUUCGAAACUUUGAGAUUCAUGCACUAUAAGAUAGCUAGACAAGCAAAAAAAUGAUGGGCAUUUCAGUUGAGGUGUCGAGCAAUUAGAUUGAAUUCAAACCAAAUAAAGCUUGACGCAGAAAAGAGAAAUGUUGUGCAUUGAGCGAAUAUAUGACAAAAUAAGUGCAAAGAGAGUCAUUGAUGUUCUAGCGCUUUGGCCAAUUGAGUUCUUAAAAUUUUACUUUGCUUAAUCGAAUCCUCGGCAUUUUCAAUUUCAGUCAAUUGAGUCCCUCAACCUUGAUCCUCGGAAAUAGUCACAUGGCUAUGAUUUUCCAAGUUGAUAAGAAGAUGCUCGAGAAGAAAACCGGGUAGGAGGUGAAAUGGGACCUAAGUGCAAGUUUUACUAUUUCAGUAACUACAAUUGAUCUGACAGAAGGUUGAACUUUCAUGGAUCUGGCACUUCGUUUGAAGCUAUACAAACAGAAAUCAGCGGGCUCACGAAGCCAAUCUUUUAGACAGUUUCUGAAGUAUCACACAGAAAAGCACUAGGAUAUCUUUACACAUUCUCUUAUUUCCUCUAUAAACUCACAGUUAUUAGAGUAUAUUAGGCAUCAUUUAUUUGUAGUACAUUAGGUACAGAUGUCCUCUCUCUGAAAUUCCCUCUUUUCCUCUUCUUACGAUUAGCUUUGCCAGAAGAUGUUUCCAACUUCCGACAUUGAUGAUGUCAUUUCAAGGAGUUCUCAAUGUUUAUCACAAAUCGGUACUUAACAUCUCUCUUGAUGAGCCCCUCAAGGGCUUCAUUGGCAUAAUCGAUCAGUAUCACUUCGAUUUCUUGGUGUAUGUGCUGUGGCGCACAGAGGUCUAUCAUUUCUUGGAUAUACUUCAUUCCUCCAGUAGCGCUACCCAAAACUGUUUUCAUACCUGCAAAAAGUUCAUUAUGAGCAACUUAGUUCGUUCGCCUAUCAAGUAUCAAUAUUUCAUUCAGUAAUGAGCUUUGAGAACAAAAACAUACCGAGGUUAAGGCUUGCCGCACUGAAUGUAAUUUCGCUUUGGGACCCAACCAACGCUAGAACGCCACCCGUCUUCAAAAGAGACAUGUAAGGAUCAAAUAGGUGAGCAGCAGAUGCCGUGUCGAUUAUAAAAUCCAGGGACUUAGCCAUGGCCUACAUGUAUUGGAACCAUCAGAUCACGGCAGCAAUUGACCUCCAUGGAUCUAAAGUACUGAUAAUUCCAGAUCUUCCCGUUUGCCUUCAUCUGUUCUUGGUCAGAUGAGAUGACGAAAUGGUCAGCACUCAGCAAGCUCAGUGCUUCCUCCUUUUUAGAAUUGCUUGUACUAAACACAGCGACUUUCAGUCCAAAAGCCUUCCCAAGCUUAAUUGCCAUGUGACCGAGCCCACCGAGUCCAAUUAUGCCGAGAGACUUACCCGGUUGGCUCAUCUUGUGACGCACCAUUUGAGUGUAUACUGUGAUUCCAGCAUAGGGCAAUGGUGCUGCUAAAGCCAAUGGGUAGCUUUCUGGAAUCCUGAAGCAGUACCUGUCAAUGAAGCACCACAAUUAAGUUUCCAAAUCACACCAAAGGAGGAAGGGAUUUCCCAAUAGAAUUGACAUCCCAUCUUUUUUGUAUAACAGGAUUCAAAUCACAUUUUACUUGCUUAGAGCACAAUUCAACAUCAUGUGGUUUCUGUGAUUCUUUUUUUGACCACAAAUUGCUUAAGAUGAAAACUUCUUGCUGUAGCGACGAAAGUAAAGCCACUACGGCAUACAGGAGGCCAUACUCGAUCAAAAUUGAGAAAAGAGGCUUGCUCUAACAGAGGACACUAGAAGCAUAUUGCAUAUGCAUGAUAGAUCAUGUAAUUUCUCUAUUCCCCUCAAUCAUGUCUCUAAGGGACACGAUAUUCCCGUGACUGUCGGAUACAAGAAUCCGUGAAAGCACGUACAUUUUAUUACCCAUUUGAUCUAACACUUACUAUCUAACUCUUGGAAACAAUCUAAAAAAAGGGAGGAAGAGGAGACAAAAGGCAAGGAUUGAGCAAUUUCCAUCUCUUUCUCUCUUUUAAUUGAGGGUUAAUAUCCUAAACCCCCCCCCCCCCCCAAAACUAGUAUAUAUGUGAUAAAUUUACCCCGACGGACUAUAAAAAAACCCUAAACUUAUAUAUUUGUGACAAAUUUACCAAAAACUAAUUUAUUCAACCGCAAAAAACUUUAAGAUGGUAAAUUUGUAACAAAUAUACCCUCCACUAAAUUGGAUUAAUACCACAAAAAAAAUCACAAAAAUUGUAUACUGUGACAAACGAAGCAUAAAAUCUCAAAUUGGUAUACUAGUCAAUUGGCUUUUUUUUUUGGUAAAGUAUACUAGUCAAUUGUCACGUGUCAUUUAAUUUAAUAAUUUGACGGUAAAAUUUAAUGAAAACUAACAUAUGGUAAAUUUGUCACAAGUAUACCAGUUUAGAGUAAUUUGUCAAACAUAUACCAGUUUGAGGUUUUUUAGGGUAUUCACCCUUUAAUUAAUUUAGUUUUAAAUUUAAUUUUAUUAUUUUUUUAUGAAAAAUUCAUAUGUUAGAUUUAUUGGCUCACAUGUCAUUGUCACUUGAUGUGUAUGAUAUAUAGAAUAGUCCAAGAAAUUUGACUUUAGAUACUUGGGAACCCGCAAAUGGUCAUACAUUGUCGGUUACACAUUCAACAUGAUGUAUUAGCUAAUCAUAGUCCUCUAACGGUUUAUAUUUGCUUAAAAUAUUUCAAGAAUAUUCAUUUGUUAGACUUGUCCGCUCACACACCACUAUCACUUGAUGUAUAUGAUAUGUAGAAUAGUCUAAGAACUUUGACUUUAGAUACUUGGGAGUGUCUACGCUUGUUUUAUGUCUGUUAUGCUUGCAAUGCUUCUUGUUUUGAGUGGACAAUACAAAUAUUUAAGUCCGUGUCAAUUUGAACAACUUUCUUUAUUAUAGAGCAAUAGUCUUUAAUCUAUUGUGUUCUUGACCACAAAAAACCAAGUAACAAAUAAGUAUAAAUUAUUGUAGGGUCCAACGACAAUCUUUAAUCUAUUAUGUUCUUGACCACAAAAAACCAAAUAAUAAAUAAGUAUACAUUAUUAUAGGGCUCACUCCUUUAAAAAUUUGUUGCUCACAACAACUUAUUUAUUCUCAUAAUAACCCAAAGUUAUACUAGCAAAGCUCUUUUGAGUAAGUGUAUUGAAAGUUUUAAAAACUUGUCACUAAAGUGUAUUGAGUCCUAAAACUUUCAAAAUAUGCAAUUUAAUCCUAAAAUUUGUCACGAAAUGCAAUUGAGUCUUAAAAUUUUCAAAAUGUACAAUCAAUUAUAAAGAUUUAUCAAAAUUGGUCCAAUUGAAGUCAUUCCAUUGAUUGCAAUUUUUGAAAGUUUUAGAGCUCAAUACGAUUUCCUAACAAGUUUUAGGACUUAAUUACACUUUUUGAAAAUUUUAAAACUUAACUAUAAUUUAUGAUAAGUUUUAGGAUUUCUAGUACACUUAUCUUCUUCUUUUUUUCACCUCAUUAAUCUUUUUAGCAACAAUGAGCUUGACAUAUCUCUGUUUUCAGGAUUUCAGUGGCUAGGGGAAACAAAGGGAUGUCCUCUAAUGAAUCAACAAUCUUCCUGCCAUGACAAUGCCAGAAGAGAGAUGAGUGCCUUACAUAGUUAUCAAAAAUGUUCAUAUUAUAAUUGGUAGGCAUUCGCUCUGCCAACGUGCAUGAACAUUUCCGGCGAUGAAACAUUCGUGAGGAGCCAGUAAAGACAUCCUAUUAUUUAAACCGGCAAAAGGAUAUCGAGCUUGCUCUAUUAGCAAGUAUAUUGUCGUCAAAUAAUCCUGAUUAAUCCGAUAUUUUCAUACAAAAAAUCGUCAUCGAGGCCAACUUAAUCCAAAAUGCCAAUGGACAGGCUUGGGUAAGCUAGUGGAUAGGUAUGCCGCUUUAUCUUAUGUCGUGUUAUCUCACGCGAGAGAUGGUGCUGCGUUCUCUUUAGAAUGCACAUGACUUGGGAUAGGAAAACCUUAGGAUCCGACAAGGAAGAAGGAAAAAAGCAAUCUAUUGUCGGGCCAAUACAAGAUCAUUUCAUGUCAAUCUCCGCAGUCUUGAGGCCAUGGAAUCUACGACAUACUUGCUCAUUCACAAGGACUGAGCAAAUAAAUAAUAAAAUAAGAGCAUAGGUCAUCAUUGAUCGUCUUCCCUUUGACUGAUUGAAUUCUAAAUAUUUUAUUUUCAAUUGAGGUUUAAAUAUUUUAUUUGAUUUAAUUGACUUCUAAACAUUUCCAAUUUUAGUCAAUCAAGUCCCUCGAAUAUUAUCCUCGGAAAGAGCCACAUGGCUGUGAUUUUCCAAGUGGCUAAGGAGAUGCUUGAGGAGAACCUGUAGGAGAGGCGAAGCCAUUCAAGCAGAACUCUCAAGAAGCCAAUUUUUCAGACAGUUUCUCAAUCAUCACAUAGAAAAGUACCAGGAUUUCAUUACCCACUUCACUUAUUUCUGCUAUAAAACUCACGAGUAUCAAAGUAUAUCAGGCAUAGUUUAUUUGUACUCCAGCAGAGCAAUUAAAAAGGCACAGAUGAUGCUCUCCUCUAGCAGAAACUCCCACUUUUCCUCUGUGUGAUCAGCUUUGCCAGCAACAAUUUCCAACAACCCAAAUUGAUGUUGAAAUUUAAUCAAAUAGACUCAGAGAAGAAAACACACAAGAGAAUUGUUGCUGUAACUUUCGUUACUUUAUUCAUCGGAACAUAAGCCUAUUAAAUAGGCAGAACAUCCAAACCACUUAGCAAGAAAAUAGCUAUAGAACAACAACAACAAAGACCCACUAACAUACCCCACUAACCAGAACAUAUGCAGAAACUAACUCCUAAAAACAGGCCACUUCCUAUUGACUAGGACUCCACUAUUACAUUAUUGAAGACACGUAAAAACUGAAAGUUAACUACUUCAACAAUUGAUGGUGUCACUUCAAGGAGUUCUCAAUGUCGAUCACGAAUCGAUACUUAACAUCUCUCUUGAUGAGCCUCUCCAGAGCUUCGUUGGCAUAAUCAAUUGGUAUCACUUCGAUGUUUGGGUAUAUCUUCUGCGCCGCACACAGGUCUAUCAUUUCUUGGGUAUCCUUUGUUCCUCCCGUUACGCUACCCGUAACAGUUCUCAUAUCUGCCAAAAGUUCACCGCGAGCAACUUAGUUCACCUAUCAGGUAUGAAAUUUCAUCUAGUAAUCAGAUUUGAGAACAAAAACAUACUGAG